GACUUCCAGAUGAAAAAUUAUGCAAAUCCUCUAUUUUUAUGGGGGAUUUCUUGGCCUCUAUUUGGUACUCCAAGCUGUAGGAUGUCAAUGCUGUAAGUGGAUAAGUGAAACUUUUUGAUUGUUGGAUGCAUUAACCCACACAAUUCAUCACACUGUCCCAUUGCUUGCUAGGGGGUGGAGUGGAAAGCUUUGCAACCUGGAGGGGUGUGGGCAGAGCCAUAGAGAUAAAAAGAGUCGCGACACUCCCAUUGGACUGCGUUGUACGCUGUUUGCCGCCUACUUCCGGGGUAUGCAGCCUCGCAUAGUUCCAAAAAGCCAUUCUAUGGCGUCGGACAUCAUUCACUUCCAUUGCUGACUGUCGAGUAACUUCUGAGAUCUUGCUGGACCAGCAGUAUCGUUGUUGUGGCCAUCACAGGUUUCAGUGGAGCGCCCCCCCCCCCCCCC